CCGCGGUAAUACGGAGGAUGCGAGCGUUAUCCGGAUUUAUGGGGUUUAAAGGGUGCGUAGGCGGGCUGUUAAGUCAGCGGUCAAAUGUCGGGGCUCAACCCCGCCGAGCCGUCGGAACUGGGGGCCUUGAGUGCGGCGGAGGCAUGCGGAAUGCGCGGUGUAGCGGUGAAAUGCAUAGAUAUCGCGCAGAACCCCGAUUGCGAAGGCAGCGUGCCGUGCCGCAACUGACGCUGAGGCACGAAAGCGCGGGGAUCGAACAG
rnacentral:rRNA from 1 species